GACGAACGCUGGCGGCGUGCCUAAUACAUGCAAGUCGAACGCAGUGGGGACGGGUGAGUAACACGUGGGUAACCUCCCAUCAGAGGGGAUAACACUUGGAAACAGGUGCUAAACCGAUACUGAUGGAUGGACCCGCGGUGCAUUAGCUAGUUGGUGAGGUAACGGCUCACCAAGGCCACGAUGCAUAGGCGCCCUGGGAGGGUGACCGGCCACUGGGGGACGGAUACACGGCCAAAACCCGUAGGGGAGGCAGCAGUGGGGAAUCUGCGGAAAUGGACGAAAGUCUGACGGAGCACCGCGGGGUGAGUGAAGAGGGUUUUCGGAUCUAAAACCUCUUUUGUUAGAGAAGCGUUUUCUAACCAGAACGCCAGGGCUACCUACGUGCCAGCAGCCGCGGUAUUUC
rnacentral:rRNA from 1 species